rnacentral:lncRNA from 1 species
UAACUCUAGAAAUGAAACUGUUCUUCUCAUUUUUUCUUUUUAUUUUUCCUGGUGAUUAAUUAUUGUUCUUUCAUGGUUUUUCUCUUAAAAUCAUCCAGUUGAUCUAUAAAAAUUUAUUCAACUUAUUGUGUGGAAACACCCUGAGAAGAACAAAGAGAAGUUUAAAUAAUGAGGACCAGGAUAUCUGCAACCAAAAAGCAAUUUGUGCUUCAUUAAUUGUUCACAGAAAUAAAGUAUGUGGGGAGGGGGACAAUAUUUGAAGAUUUAAAUGGUCAUUGCUACUGCUGCAUUUCUUGUUCAUCCAAAGUAAAACUAGAUAAUAUUUGUGUAAGCAGCACCUUGUUGGUUGGAUAGCUGAGAAAUUACCAUGAUUUAAGUUUUGGUUUGCUUGAAGUUUCAAUAAGCUUAGGGUCAUUAUGAAGCAUUACCUUGUCAUGAAUUUUAAGGAUAAAAUUCAUAUUGAUGAUGAUGAUAAUAACUUCCACAUAUAUUAGUUUUAAUUAAGCAAAUAGAAUGUGCAAGUACUAUAUUAAAUACUUAUUCACAGAUUACCUCCUUUCACCUUCAAAACAACCCUAUACAAAGUAAAUGCUAUUAUCUCGGUUUUGCAGAUACUAAUAGCCCGUAUUUGUUGAGUUCUAAUUAUGUGUUCAAUUAUCAACAUCACAAUGAGAUAGUUACCAUUUUCUAGAAAAGAAAAUCCAAACAGAGUGAGAAAGCGAUUUACC